UUAAUCCUCAUUGAUCGGAGUUACGUCUACAGUUACCUUAGCCGCUCGAUGCUCCACCAGCGUAGGUUGUGUACAGUGACCCCCUAGCAGCGAAAUUGCGGAGGACAGAGUUACCGGGCGUUUUCUGCGGUGCUCGCCGCGAUACGCUGGUUGUUACCCCGGUACUUCUUCAUCAUGCUGAUCACACCAACAUGAAUCCCCUAAGAAGGUGUGGAGUUAUUUUAAAAGCUAGAUAUAUUGGCUUCGCGGAUGGACUGACAUUAGGACCGUCUUUCUAAUGGAGUAUGUUGACUGAGGAAAAGGAAAGGAUCGGACCCUGUACCCGUCUUGGAGCUCUGUCAGUCAGCUCAGCAGAGGGCCCUGCGUGUUCAGGACUUGGAAAUUGAAAACAAACAACUUCGAGAGACACUUAACGACUACAACGAAGAAUUUAAAGAAGUAA